rnacentral:rRNA from 1 species
AGCAGCCGCGGUAAUUCCAGCUCCAAUAGCGUAUAUUAAAGUUGUUGCAGUUAAAAAGCUCGUAGUUGAAUUUCGGGAUCAAUAUAUUGGUCGUGCCUCCGGUAUGCACUGGUAUCAUUGAUUUCUACCUUCUGACGAACUAUGACGUCAUUAAUUUGGUGUCAUAGGGAAUCAGGACUGUUACUUUGAAAAAAUUAGAGUGUUUAAAGCAGGCACACGCUUGAAUACAUUAGCAUGGAAUAAUGAAAUAGGACGUUUGACCCUAUUUUGUUGGUUUCUAGGAUCGACGUAAUGAUUAAUAGGGAUAGUUGGGGGCAUUAGUAUUCAAUUGUCAGAGGUGAAAUUCUUGGAUUUAUUGAAGACUAACUACUGCGAAAGCAUUUGCCAAGGAUGUUUUCAUUAAUCAAGAACGAAAGUUAGGGGAUCGAAGACGAUCAGAUACCGUCGUAGUCUUAACCAUAAACUAUGCCGACUAGGGAUCGGAUGAUGUUAAUUUUUUAAUGACUCAUUC